rnacentral:rRNA from 1 species
GGUUGCGAUCAUACCAGCACUAAUGCACCGGAUCCCAUCAGAACUCCGCAGUUAAGCGUGCUUGGGCGAGAGUAGUACUAGGAUGGAUGACCCCCUAGGAAGUCCUCGUGUUGCAACCC